UCUAUUGUUUUGUACAAUUAUUUAUUUUUUAUAAGAUAUAAUUGUCGAUAUAACGAAUCACAGAAAGACAUUACUCCGACAACUAAAACAAACUUAACCGUCUAAUGAUAGCAAAUAUAAUCAACUCAGAUUGCGACAUAUUUGUACUACUGUGGCAAUGUAAUUUUUAUGAUUGCUUCUAUUUUCAGUCUUUGACAAGCUUUUAUAUGAUUGCUUCUAUUUUUGGUUGAUUAACUUAAUUUAAAUCAGGUUAUAUAUGAUUGUUUCUAUAGAAGUUAUUUUUUUAGAAAAUGAAUUUUCAUGGAUUUAGUACUAAUUUUGGAAUCUACUUGUCAUCUGGAGAAUGAAUAUGAAAAUGAUGUAUAAAACUUGUUUAAUUUCUGAGUUUGUGCUGCAUAUGAUUUGGAUUUGGUUACAAGACUUUAACUUUUUGAAGAAUGUUCAUUUUGUUAUAGCUACCCUUAUCUUGAGCAGCUAGCAGGAUGAAUAUAUGAAUAUGCAUACAAAGGUAUGCUAAGGAGGUUCCAUUUGGUUUACAAGAAGUACUUGUGUCUGCUGUUUGAACGGAUUUGGAACCCGAGAGAAUGUUGCAUUUUGUAGUUGUGUUUGGGGUGUUUUCUGGUGGACUGGCUUUUCUGCUGUGCUGAUUUUUUUUUCUGUUGUUCGCAGGUUCUGUUUGCUGUUUUGGUGGGUGCUGCCUUCUGUUAAGGGCGGCUGCUGCUAUGUGCACCUGCUGUCAGCUGGUGUUUUUUUUGUUGUUGUUGUCAGCAGCUUCUGUGGUGCGGUUCAGCACGUGUUGGUGUGCUUGGGGGCUGGGUUUGGUGCGGCGUUAUGCGUAGGGGGUCAUUGUUCUUGUCCGGCUGCCUUUCCGGAUAGUUUUUGGGUCUUUGUAUACCUUUGCAUCAGUCACUUGCUUUAGGAGGCUGAGUUUUUCUUUUUGUUUGGCUCUUUUUGGUGUGGUUUGGGUCAGGUGUUCCGCCUAUAUACGACAUCCUUGUUUGUGUUGAUUUGUUUCGUUUUGCUUGCGCGGUUGGUUAUUGUGCAGCUUGCACCCUUCCGUUGCUUAAUAAAUUUUGCAGAUUCAAAUAAAAAAAAA